GCAGAACAUUACUGCAGCUGCUUCCAGAGCUUCCACACAGAAAUUUCGUUGUUGUUUUGCUUGUUUAUUUUGUUUUCUUUUCAUUUGCAGGGGAGGUUGCAAGGGUGAAAGGCAGAUAUGGAGGGAGGGGGAAGAUGAGGAGGAUUAGGGUGCAUGAUGUGAAAUUCACACACACACAAAAAGUUAUUUUUUUUUAAAUGAAAGAAAAAGAAAAGAGUCAGAAAACACACACAUGACUUCCAUUCUGCUUCACUGGUGGAAACACUUAUGGGCACACUCAGCAUCAAGGAAAUCCGGGACUUGUAUUUGGAUCAUUGCAUGUCUAGGAAGAAUGAAUCUGGGAGAGCACUUCAAAAUUAUGAAUACAGAAUACACAGAGAAAUUUUGGUAGUCAUUUCUGCCAUAUGAAAAGGAAACUAGAGAGAUGAAGGAGAUGUAAGGCCUGGAGAAAUGUGGAUGAGAGGACAGAAUGCUAAUAUCCAUUUAUCGAAGCUUUGCAAUUUCAUGAGGUCCCAUUAAGUGGAUAUUAUCCCCAAAGCUCAAAAUACACAAGAUACAAUUCAUAGACCACAUGAAGCUCAAGAAGAAGGAAGAACAAAGUGUGGAUGCUUCGGUCCUUCUUAGAAGUUAGAACAAAAUACUCAUGGGAGGAAAUACGGAGACAAAGUGUGGAACAGAGACUGAAGGAAAGGCCAUCCAGAGACUGCCACACCUGGAGAUCCAUCCCAUAUACAGUCACCAAACCCAGACACUAUUGUAACUGCUAACAAGUGCUUAUUGACAGGAGCCUGAUAUAGCUGUCUCCUGAGAGGCUCUGCCAGAGCCUGACAAAUACAGAGGUGGAUGUUCUUAGUCAACCAUUGGAAUGAGCACGGGGUCCCUGAUGGAGGAGUUAGAGAAAGGACUGAAGGAGCUGAAGGGGCUUGCAACCCCAUAAGAAGAACAACAAUAUCAACCAACCAGACCCCCCAGAGCUCCCAGGGACUAAACCACCAACCAAAAAGUAUACACGGAGGGACCCAUGGCUCCAGGUGCAUAUGUAGCAGAAGAUGGGCUUAUCUGGCAUCAAUGGAAGGAGAGGCUCUUUGUCCUGUGAAGGCUCGAUGCACCAGUGUAGGGGAAUGCCAGGGUGGUAAAGUGGGAGUGGGUGGGUGGGUGGGGGAGCACCCUCAUAGAAGAAGGGGGAGUGGGGAAGGGAUAGGGGGUUUCCGGGACAUGGGGGAAAGGAGAUAACAUUUGAAAUGUAAAUAAAGAGAAUUAAAAAAAAAAAAGAGGA
rnacentral:lncRNA from 1 species